ACGCUCGACACCUACGGAGGCAGCAGUGGGGAAUAUUGCACAAUGGGGGAAACCCUGAUGCAGCGACGCCGCGUGAAGGAAGAAGUAUCUCGGUAUGUAAACUUCUAUCAGCAGGGAAGAAAAUGACGGUACCUGACUAAGAAGCCCCGGCUAACUACGUGCCANCAGCCGCGGUAAUCUGAGCGGGCUGGCAAGGC
rnacentral:rRNA from 1 species